rnacentral:rRNA from 1 species
UACAGAGGGUGCAAGCGUUGCUCGGAUUUACUGGGCGUAAAGCGUGCGCAGACGGCGAGGCAGGUCGGAUGUGAAAGCCCCGGGCUCAACCCGGGAAAUGCAUUCGAAACCAUCUUGCUCGAGUGUGGAAGAGGAGAGCAGAAUUCCCGGUGUAGAGGUGAAAUUCGUAGAUAUCGGGAGGAAUACCAGCGGCGAAGGCGGCUCUCUGGUCCAUUACUGACGUUCAGGCACGAAAGCGUGGGUAGCAAACAGG